rnacentral:sRNA from 1 species
UUUGGUAAGGAUUCUACUAUUGCUGGUA